rnacentral:rRNA from 1 species
GACGAAGGGGGCUAGCGUUGUUCGGAAUUACUGGGCGUAAAGCGCGUGUAGGCGGCCAUGCGUGUCUUCCGUGAAAUCCCUCGGCUUAACUGAGGACGUGCGGAAGAAACUGCAAGGCUUGAGUCCGGGGAGAGGGGGGUGGAAUUCCCAGUGUAGCGGUGAAAUGCGUAGAUAUUGGGAGGAACACCGGUGGCGAAGGCGGCCCCCUGGACCGGUACUGACGCUGAGGCGCGAAAGCGUGGGUAGCAAACGGG